rnacentral:rRNA from 1 species
GAGUUUGAUCCGUGGCUCAGGAUGAACGCUGGCGGCGUGCCUAAUACAUGCAAGUCGAGCGAACGGACGAGAAGCUUGCUUCUCUGAUGUUAGCGGCGGACGGGUGAGUAACACGUGGAUAACCUACCUAUAAGACUGGGAUAACUUCGGGAAACCGGAGCUAAUACCGGGAUAAUAUUUUGAACCGCAUGGUUCAAAAGUGAAAGACGGUCUUGCUGUCACUUAUAGGUGGAUCCGCGCUGCAUUAGCUAGUUGUAGGUAACGGCUUACCAAGGC